rnacentral:rRNA from 1 species
GCCCAGACUCMUACGGGVGGCAGCAGUARGGAAUCUUCGGCAAUGGGGGCAACCCUGACCGAGCAACGCCYGCGUGAGUGAAGAAGGUUUUCGGAUCGUAAAGSUCUGUUGUAAGUCAAGAACGGGUGUGAGAGUGGAAAGUUCACACUGUGVCGGUAGCUUACCAGAAAGGGACGGCUAACUMCGUGCCAGCACCCGCGGUAAUACGUAGGUCCCGARCGUUGUCYGGAUUUAUUGGGCGUAAAGCGAGCCCAGGCGGUUUGAUAAGUCUGAAGUUAAAGGCCUGUGGCUCAACCAUAGUUCGCUUUGGAAAGCUGUCAAACUUGAUGUGCAGAACGGGGAGGAGGUGGAAUUYCCAUGUGUACGCGGUGAAAUGCGUAGAUAUAUGGAGGAACCNCCCGGUGGCGAAAGCGGCUCUCUGGUCUGUA